GGCGUAGGUGGGAAUGUAAGUCAGAUGUGAAAGCCCGGGGCUCAACCCCGGAACAGCAUCUGAAACUGCUUUUCUAGAGGGUAGGCGGAGAAAACGGAAUUCCACAUGUAGCGGUGAAAUGCGUAGAUAUGUGGAAGAACACCCGUGGCGAAAGCGGUUUUCUAGCUUAUUCCUGACACUCAAGCCCGAAAGCAAGGGGAGCGAACAGGAUUAGAUACCCUGGUAGUCC
rnacentral:rRNA from 1 species